AUUGAACGCUGGCGGCAGGCCUAACACAUGCAAGUCGAGCGGAUGAAGGGAGCUUGCUCCUGGAUUUAGCGGCGGACGGGUGAGUAAUGCCUAGGAAUCUGCCUGGUAGUGGGGGAUAACGUCCGGAAACGGGCGCUAAUACCGCAUACGUCCUGAGGGAGAAAGUGGGGGAUCUUCGGACCUCACGCUAUCAGAUGAGCCUAGGUCGGAUUAGCUAGUUGGUGGGGUAAAGGCCUACCAAGGCGACGAUCCGUAACUGGUCUGAGAGGAUGAUCAGUCACACUGGAACUGAGACACGGUCCAGACUCCCACGGGAGGCAGCAGUGGGGAAUAUUGGACCAUGGGCGAAAGCCUGAUCCAGCCAUGCCGCGUGUGUGAAGAAGGUCUUCGGAUUGUAAAGCACUUUAAGUUGGGAGGAAGGGCAGUAAGUUAAUACCUUGCUGUUUUGACGUUACCAACAGAAUAAGCACCGGCUAACUUCGUG
rnacentral:rRNA from 1 species